UACGUAGGGGGCAAGCGUUGUCCGGAUUUAUUGGGCGUAAAGAGCUCGUAGGUGGUUCGGUAAGUCGGAUGUGAAAUCUCCAGGCUCAACCUGGAGGGGUCAUUCGAUACUGCCGUGACUAGAGUUCGGUAGGGGAGUGUGGAAUUCCUGGUGGAGCGGUGAAAUGCGCAGAUAUCAGGAGGAACACCCGUAGCGAAGGCGGCACUCUGGGCCGAUACUGACACUGAGGAGCGAAAGCGCGGGGAGCGAACAGG
rnacentral:rRNA from 1 species